AGGAGGAACAGCCCCAGUGGCGGGGCAGCUCUGGAGCCCUGGAUUCAGCUCCGGCAGGAACUCCGUCUGCAGGGCCUGGAGGCUCCGGGGUGGG
rnacentral:pre_miRNA from 1 species